UGGGGAAUCUUGCACAAUGGGGGAAACCCUGAUGCAGCGACGCCGCGUGAGCGAUGAAGGUUUUCGAAUCGUAAAGCUCUGUCCUAUGGGAAGAUAAUGACGGUUCCAUGGGAGGAAGCCCCGGCUAACUACGUGCCAGCAGCCGCGGUAAUACGUAGGGGGCGAGCGUUGUCCGGAAUUACUGGGCGUAAAGGGUUCGCAGGCGGCAUGGCAAGUCCGAUGUAAAAGGCGAAGGCUCAACCUUCGUAAGCAUCGGAAACUGUCAAGCUUGAGUGAAGGAGAGGCAAGUGGAAUUCCUAGUGUAGCGGUGGAAUGCGUAGAUAUUAGGAGGAAUACCGGUGGCGAAGGCGACUUGCUGGACUUCAACUGACGCUGAGGAACGAAAGCGUGGGUAGCAAACAGG
rnacentral:rRNA from 1 species